UGAUUUGAUAAUUUUAUUGGAUCUGAAGAUCAAGUGCCAGUCUAUGUCAUCUAAUGCCAGCCAGUAACUUAGGUCGACAAACACCUAUUUAUUCUUUGUUACUUUGUAAUCAAAGAAGGUAUCAUUGUCUAGUAUAGUAUGGUAUUAUUGGUAUUUUAUCUUCUGUUUGGAACAUUCAAAAGUAUAUCAUAGUUUAUCAGAGUUAUAGUUUUCUGACCGGACUAUCCAAACAAAAAGGCCUUCAAUAGUGACCUAGAGGUAGGACUCAUCUGCCACCUUAUAAUAAAUUUUGGUAGAUAACAGUCAGGUAAAUUCAAGUGCAUGAAUGAGGCAUAAAGGUUUCUUUUGAUGUUUAUGAUAUCUAAUUGUUGUUCAUCUUGUCAAACUUCCAUAUCCUAUGCAUCAAUGAACACAUAAGCAUAUGGUGACUGACUGUGCUUUAAAGAAUAUCCUUUGUAGCUCAUUAGCUAGUAAAAACUUUAAAAUCAUAUGGGUGAUACUUGAGAAUUUGCUUGCUUGAAAAAUCAUCAAUUUCAUGCAAUUUCCUGAUAUCUUUUCGGAUUGCCAGCUACUGCUGUUACCCUUUUCUGAAUAAAAAGACUGCUGUUAAAUU
rnacentral:lncRNA from 1 species